GACGAACCGAGCGAACGUUGUUCGGAAUCACUGGGCUUAAAGGGCGCGUAGGCGGGCAUCAAAGUCUGUGGUGAAAUCCGGCAGCUUAACUGUCGAAUUGCCAUGGAUACUGGAUGUCUCGAGGGAGGCAGGGGUGCGCGGAACUGAUGGUGGAGCGGUGAAAUGCGUUGAUAUCAUCAGGAACUCCGGUGGCGAAGGCGGCGCACUGGUCCUUUUCUGACGCUGAGGCGCGAAAGCCAGGGGAGCGAACGGG
rnacentral:rRNA from 1 species